rnacentral:tRNA from 4 species
GCUCGCGUAGCUCAGCAGGUAGAGCACACCCUUGGUAAGGGUGAGGUCGCCGGUUCAAGUCCGGCCGCGAGCUCCA